ensembl:snRNA U11 spliceosomal RNA
AAAAAUGGUUUCUGCUGCGAUUAGCACUUCAAUGGUGACUAAUGUGUCUUUUGUGUGGAAUCACUAUCAAGAGAUUUUGAAAACAUAAGUUUUUUGCCCUGAGGCUGCUAAUGAUCAAUAAUCCUAGUGCCCCA